GUUUUCUCAGAGUUCAUUCCAUAUUUAAAAUUGGUAGAUAAGUAAUUCCAAAGCGAUUUUUGGCCUCUAAUGAGUUGGCAAACUCAUUGUGCCUCCUGGAUGUGACCAAUGGAUGAAAGUUUAAACAGGUGUGCAUGGCAUGUGGUCGGCUUAUUCUUUCAGUGGAUGCAUUUAAUGGGAUAAUUGUGCUCCUCAAUUGAAAAAUACAUUUAAUUUAAAGGUUCUAACAGAGUCCUCUGAACCUAUAAUGGGGAACACCCAUGUCAGAGGUUCUGUGUUGCCCACAUUAUACAUGAUUAAAUUUAACUGUGCUUCAGAUAAACAGCAUGCUGAUCUCACGUUUUCUGUCUCUUUCAUUCCAGGUGCACUGAAUCUUCAUUUUCAGCCUGAGUAUCAGCUUCUUGAAAGGUGCAUCUCAUCAGGUGAGAGCAACCUAGCCGAUGGAAGACCAAGGCCCCCAGGAGGAGUGGGAGGACUUUGCCCUUCAUGCCUGUUGCUCAGGAGUGAGGAACUGAGGCCAACACCAAGUGCACCAGAGAGCUUUGGAGCAGACCUGGAGCAGACACAGAGGGAACCUGCUGGUGCUGGGACACUGAAUAGGAGGAGGGAAAACCAGAGCCAGUGGAGAAUGGGACUGGCCAGAGCACACUCAUGAUAUGGACACAGUUGGACCCAAAUGCCAGGUGAUGACAAUGGCUUGGAAAUUCAAGCUUGAAGUCAUUUCUGUGAAUAUGAUAUCUGAACACCUUUGAUGCAGCCUACCUGUCUCUCCAGGUAUCUAAUGCAUUAUUUGAGAUAUUCCUGAGCAUUUUAUGAUAUAAAUGAUCUUCAUAUUCUUUUUUUGUUUGUUUGUUUUUUAGCCUUUGGAAGAAAAAUAUUCCUUUAAAUUACAGAAAUGAGUGUCUGUUGGAUGCAGAUGGAUGUAUCCAUUAUGAACAACUUAUUCAGGAAAUCUUGGUGACAGAGGAGAUUUGUCUUCUAUUUUAGAACAACAAAAGUGUUAUGGAUGGUUAAACAAAACCAGACCUAGAAAAUACUGAGUUAGCCAGGUGGGAAGGUGGCUCAGAAUGCUCUAUUCCUGUCAGCCUUCUUGAAUUUCCUCUUUCUGUUGAAAAAAUUGUUAUCCUCUUCUGCAUGUUGCUGAAGGUGGAUGUCUCCACUGCCCCAAAUCCCACACAAACUCUAAGCUCCAGUGAAAGAGUGGGCAGUGGGGAGGUAGAAGCAAAGGCUUAUUUUUGUGGAGUGCCACUCUAAGUGGAAAAUUUUAGACAGAUAAGAUCUGUUUCUCUGCCAAAUGAAAACUUCAGUGUACGCAUCCCACUUGCAAAAUGAUAUUUGUAUUUUUUUCCCUUAAAAUUACCAGAGUCUCCAUCUGGUAGCAUCCUAAAGGAUUAAACUGUAUUUGUGUAGAUGUUUUGUUCAGGACACAGCAUACAGCCUCUUCUUGUGCCUCCCAUUUUGACUUUCACUCUGUUUAUGCUGUAGAAGUAAAUGAAUUCAUGCCAUCUGCCCUGACAUCAAAAUGAAGCACAUCUGUGUGAGACAGCAACAGAGGGAUGCACGGGUCCAGGGAGGUUUCCAGCAGCAUCAGCUGCCUCAUCCCUGCACAUUUCAGGGAAUGUGGCCAGGCUGCUCUUCCAAAAAGGUGCUAAGUG
ensembl:lncRNA